GUAGGUGGCAAGCGUUGUCCGGAAUUAUUGGGGCGUAAAGCGCGCGCAGGCGGUUCUUUAAGUCUGGUGUGAAAGCCCACGGGCUCAACCGUGGAGGGUCAUUGGAAACUGGAGAACUUGAGUACAGAAGAGGAAAGCGGAAUUCCACGUGUAGCGGUGAAAUGCGUAGAGAUGUGGAGGAACACCAGUGGCGAAGGCGGCUUUCUGGUCUGUAACUGACGCUGAGGCGCGAAAGCGUGGGGAGCAAACAGGAUUAGAUACCCUGGUAGUCCACGCCGUAAACGAUGAGUGCUAAGUGUUAGGGGGUUUCCGCCCCUUAGUGCUGCAGCUAACGCAUUAAGCACUCCGCCUGGGGAGUACGGCCGCAAAGGCUGA
rnacentral:rRNA from 1 species